rnacentral:misc_RNA from 1 species
UAGACCAAAAGGGUAAAUAUCAAGAAUUUAGAACUAACAAUUAUCCUUUAAAAAAUGGCAGAGGAAAUCAGCACCCUCCAAAGCAAAAGGUAUGCAGUAGUGACUGGUGGAAACAAAGGAAUAGGAUAUGAAACAUGCAAGCAAUUAGCAAGCAAAGGAUUAGUGGUAGUGUUGACAUCAAGAGAUGAAAAGAGAGGGAUUGAAGCUAUUGAAAGGCUUAAAAAGGAGUUAAACAUUACUAAUAAUAAUGAUCACAUUUUGUUUCAUCAACUUGAUGUUAUGGAUCCAGCUAGUAUUUCUUCUCUUGUGGACUUUAUCAACACAAAUUUUGGAAGGCUCGAUAUUCUGGUUAACAACGCAGGGGUUAGUGGAUUAAUGGUGGAAGGAAAUCUUGUUAUACUAAAAAAUUUAAUUGAAGGAGAUUUCGAGACCAUUUCUACUGAAAAUCAAGUUGAGGACGAAAGUGUUGUGGAGAAAUCAAUUGAAGGUAUCGUUACAAAUUAUGAGUUGACAAAACAAUGCAUAGAGACAAACUUUUAUGGUGCAAAAAGGAUGAGUGAAGCAUUUAUCCCUCUCCUUCAACUCUCUAAUUCACCAACGAUUGUUAAUGUUGCUUCUUUCUUAGGAAAAUUGAAGUUAUUGUGUAACGAAUGGGCUAAAAAAGUGCUAAGUGAUGCAAAAAGCCUAACAGAAGAAAGGAUAGAGCAAGUGUUAAAUGAAUUUCUCAAAGAUUUUAUAGAAAAUUCAGUUGAAUCCAAAGGAUGGCCAACUUACUUUGCAGCUUACAAAGUGUCAAAAGCAUCGUUGAUUGCCUACACAAGAGUUUUAGGUUCAAAAUAUCCGAAUUUUCGCGUUAAUUCGGUGUGCCCUGGCUAUUGUGGUACAGACAUGACUGCAUAUACUGGAAGUUUAACUGCUGAAGAAGGUGCUGAAAGCUUGGUGAAACUUGCUUUGUUGCCAAAUGAUGGACCUUCUGGCCUCUUCUUUUACAGAAAGGAUGUCACCUCGUUUUGAACAUUUGGCUAAUUCAACUUUUAAGUAAUAACUUAUUAUCAAUCAACUGCUCCAUAAGAAAUAAGUCGGGUUGGUUGUAUGAAUUAUUUGUCUAUUCAGCUAGAUUAUGUUUUAUUCUUACUUGUACUACUUUCAUUGCAAACAACAGGCCUACUAUAAGUGUCAUGUUGCUCAGACACUUCUAAAGAAAAGUUGAACUUGAGUCUGAAUCCAAAAAUAAUAGUAUGGUGCUUGUGUUUGAUACUCAAAAGAUAUGAUAUUAUUGUGCUUGUUAUGUAGUGGAGCCUGAUUUAUUUUAGGUUUUCCUAUUUAUUCUCUGUAACCAAAAUACUCUGAUUUAUUAAUAUAAAUAUACCUCACCGCCGUGGAAGUUUACUUACGGGAUGUUACCACGGAAUAUGGGUUUUCUCUCUCG